CAGCCGUAAACAAUGUGCGUUAGGUGUGUCGGUAACCACGCGUUACUGAUGCGCCGAAGAGAAAUCGUGAAACGCACCACCUGGGAAGUACGGUCGCAAAGGCUGAAACUUAAAGGAAUUGGCGGGGGAGCACCACAACAGGUGGAGCCUGCGGUUUAAUUGGAUUCAACGCCGGACAUCUCACCGGAUAAGACAGCUGAAUGAUUGUCAAUCUGAAGGUUUUACAUGACUAGCUGAGAGGUGGUGCAUGGCGUCAGUGACU
rnacentral:rRNA from 1 species